UAACCAGAUAGAGUUCUUUGGGAUGGUUUUGUCAACAGCAUUGACUCAUUUUUAUUUCUAACUGGACACAUCUGCUGAGGGACCUGGCAAGGGGGUUGUCUCUUUAUCAUGCAAAACUAUCCACAAGACUGUCUUGCAUGGAGAGAAUUGGCUGUGAUUUAGGGCUGUAUCCCAGUUGUCUGAAUGAGGUCUAAGGAAUCAGACUUUCCAUAAUACACUCCGGAUUAGUCAUUCGGUGAGCAGGAUUAUAGCUAUCAAAAGGAGAGCAAUGAGGCUGCAUGUGCGUGGUGGUGGUACAGACUUCAGGGCCAUUCCCAGCCAUCAUUUUCCAGAACCUCAGAACUGGAUUAUGCUUUUUUGGUGCCAGAGGAAAUGAUCGACUUCUGCUCCUUGAGAAUACUAUGCCAAUUACCGUUUCUAUAGUGUCAGCUCUGCUCAAAGUUGCAACUCGACAAGACUGAUGGGAGGGGACUGUGUGCACUCUCUUGGGACUCAGCUAGGCACGGAAUCUGAGCCAGUUAACGUUUUUUGAGUGGUUCCUGUAUGCCUGACAUUGUGGCGCGGACUUUCUAUACAUCAUCCCUGGUUUGGAAACUGAAUUUUUAAACAAAGCUGAGGCAGGAAAAUCACCCAAGCUUAGGUGUUGGACACCAGCAUGCCAGCUGCCCAGGAAGACUAUGCACUCGGGAAGAAGAAACAACGAGGCGUUCUGUACGCAAUUCAUGCAGCAGUGACGCGCCAGCCACCUGAUGACCAGGUGGGAAUUCACUGCGGGAAUUCACUGGUUACACAGAUGCCCACAUUUCUGACCACCAGGACACAGUGGGACCACCUGGAGGAGGGGGUUAGUGCCAAUCACCAGCAAGUCCACCACAAACAAGGGUGGAAAUGUAGAGCCAGUGCCCUAAGUUUUCUAUACCUUAUUUUCUUAUCUCUGAGAUGGGAACACUAUGUAUUACUAUUGAAACUAUCAGUGGUUCCGUGUUUUAUAUACCAGCCAAUGAGUAGUGUCUAACUACUAAGUUGGAUUUGUAUCUGCUUGGUACAUAGUCACUAAGCACUUAAGUGGUACUGUGGACUCUACUAGGCUCAGGGGAAUGAAAGAGAAAUGAAAAUCCACCUCAGGCCCCAGGACCUUUACAAUAGAGAAAACAAGGAUUUACUUUCAUAUUUAUUUACAGUUGUUUAUUUUAUGAGAUAUUCCACCAUGUCACAAUCAGUACUAAGGCUUGUUGCAAAGAAUGUGUUCAUGCUGCUAAAAUAUUAAAGUCUGUACAUGCUUUUCAAUUUUUGCAAACUGGAAGAGUUUAAAUGCUAUGCAUGUUGCACCAUCACUGUACUGCUAUCACUUUCUCCUUUUUUCAACUUUAUUGAUAUAAAUUUACAUAUCAUGCAAUUAGCCUGAUACAUUUUCUUCAGUAGUGAAAAAGGUCAGGAGUUAGUUUUAGUCUAGGGAAGGAGUGUAGAACCCAGAGCUUUCCAUGCUGGUCUUGUAUCUUUACUUUAUAAUGCACUUUUAUGAAUGUCAAAUUAUUCAACUACAGGUGAUCUUUUCUGCGGGUGUUGGGGGGUGCACAAGAAAUCAGAGCCUGUCACUGCAGCUGCACACAAAGCAUCGUGAGUGUUGAGGCAAGAAAAAUACUAAUGGAAUCCUCUCAUCUCAUGGAGUGUGCUACAGAGUUUAGCGAUAUGCUCCUUUGUGGGAGCUUCCAAAGAGUAUGGAUGGAGACAAACAGAGAGAUCUAAUUUAUUGCAUAGAUAAAAGAAUGAAUUGCAACUAUCCACCACAUACACAAAGGGGAUCGGGGGUGGUUGGCGGGUUGCAAGGGCAGUGGCCUGCUGUCACCUAGUUCCUUUGCUCGGAGAGACUCCCUGGAAGAGGUGGGGCCUGGGGACGCUGUGAUUGAUGAGAGGGAAGAGUGUGCCAAGACCUGGGGCACAAGGAACUCCAGGCUGGGGAAAGAGGACACCGUUUUCCUGCCCAUGUAAUGUGCUUCAUUACAGAAAGACACAUUAGCAAUAAAAGAUUGUAGAGCAACAUUUUCUUUCUAUUCCGUGAGCCAUUUUAUUCAAAAUGUGGAGAAACCAGAAACAUUAACCCACUCUGUUUGCUGCUUUAUCUUGCUCCCUUUCCUGUAAGAGUGGCUCAUUGUGGACAGCCACUCUCUGCCUGCACCCUGCCUCUGGAAAGGAGCCAACACAAAGAAGAGGAAAGUGAGAAAGGGGACGAUGAUCAAAGAGCUGCACAACACUGGCACUUGGUGAACCUACAGAGGAGUUGGAAGAUGGCACAGUGCACAUGUAGCUACAAACCGAGAUGACAUGCCUCACAGGUCCUAAGAGAGUGACAAUGAAGACGUGUGACAAGCAUCAUAUUCCCUGGGGAUGACAUUUGAAGAGAGACCUGAAAGAUGAAUACAAGUCAGCUUGGUGAUGUGAGGGAGGAGGAUUUUAGAUAAACAAGUACAAAAGCUUGCAGGAGAGGAGGAAUCGGAUGAGUAAGAGAAACUGGGACAAACCUGAAAAAGCAGAGGUUCAGAGCAUAAAAGCGCAGGGCAAAACUACACAAGAGGAAACCAUGUUCUCAGCUUCCGUGCCUUGUGCAGUCCCAUGCAGCCAGCUCUCCUGUCCCCUGUCAGCGAACCAGUGCCAAUGGCUUCAAAUAGUUGAUGGGAUGAUCAAAUAUGAGUCUUGCUGAGCUCUCUAGUUGCAGUGAGGAGAGUGAGCUCGGGCCGUUGGGUGAAAUGUAGUAGGGAGUAAGUUCGGGUGGUUGUUCAGAGGGGAGAGGAAGACUGUUCAGGCUAAAAGUGCCUAGUGAAGGAGAGAAGCAGAACAAUGAGUAUUAGUUACAAGGUGGGCACACAGAAUGCAGUGGCUGCCUGGCUUUUGUAAUGGAACCCUUUGGUGAGUCGACUCCCUUGCUGAUCCAGUGUUUAAUCUGCCACCUGGCAUCUCUAGAAUGAAUGGAGGUGAAGGGGAUCAGAGAGAAGAAAUUAUGAAAUUAUUCAGGGUGCUCCUUAGGUCUUUGGCUUAUGCAACCGGAUGGUUAGUGGUGUCAUUUGUUCAAAGAAUGAAUACUACAGGAGAAAAGAGUUUGUGCCAGAGAGUUGUGAGCUUUGUAGGGGACAAUGAAAAUAAGGUGACUUUAAGGUAUUAUAGGAAGAAGGGACCUGGUUUGUAGCUCUGGGAGGAGGAGCUUUCUCAAGGACAAGGAGAAGUAACUAGGCGUGGUCACUGAAAAGCUUCCCAUAGUCUGUUAAUACUUAAUAUAAAAUUGGAACAACUGUUUAGCAGGGACUAUUUGUAGCAAAUAACAACAGAAAUAUGUCUGAAAAUGGUGUGGCCAUACUCUCCCUCUUUUCCGCCUCUCAGGUGGAUGCAGGAAGGACUCCUGUGCACUGAUUUCUGUGUGGAUCCCUUGGAAGGGAAGGACAUUUAUGGCAGCAGGAAUGUUCUGUCCACUGUGGUGGAGACAAUCCACUUAUCACACUGUGUCCCAGCCAGGACGUCUGUAGGGGACAGUCUCCUUUUUUUCACCUUGCAUCUGCUCAGUAUCUUAAUCCCCAAUUGUGGGAGUGAAACUCUGGCAACCUUUAAGGAUAUAAUUUGCUUCCUAUUACAUUAUUUCUUCCCCUACAGGAGAGACCAAAUGUUUGUCAUUUACGAGUGUCAUGUCAUUACAUUCCAUAUCGCAGUGUAAUGAUGUGAAAUGAUUAAAUGACAAAAUGCCAGCUCACCGCCAAAAAUUUAAAGUGGCAUACUUUUCUUUGUAGAUUGGAAAGCUAUUAUUAAUUCUUAUAUUGACUUUGCCAGAUGAAAUAAUGCAAACAGACUGUUGCAUACAGAAAUGGGAGAUAUUAGGUGAGGCUCCGAGCCCCAAUUCCAGUGGAAACCGGAAGAUGACUCCAGUUCCGGAGCCUUCUUUAGGUCAUACAUCCAGAGCUGAAUAUAUUAGUUUGGAACAGUCUGUCACCUGAUGAAUGUGGAGUGGCAGAUAUCAAAAUACAACCUGACUGGAGUUUUUAUUGAGAAGACAAAUGGGAAUUGAGAGCAGGUGGCUAAGAAAAUAAAGUGGCCUAGAGUCCUUUCCCCCACCUUCUCCUUUACCACUUCUUUCUCCUAGCACUUAUAGGAAGAUUGAAUUUUGUUCUUUUUUUCUUUUAAGGGUACAAAAGCUUACAAAAGCUGUUUCCUUUACAUCACCAAAUUACCAAAAGGAUCUGCAGUUGGUACAAUCACAAUCAUGUCUUCUUUUUCUCCUUAGGCUACAAAAUCUCAUGUGGAGAUCUUUGAAAGAGGGUUAAACAUUGCGUUCUCAGUACUAUAUGUUUUUUAAGCUUUAAAAGUUCAAACCUGUGUGACCUCAAGGUUUGGGAAUGUGUGAAGAAACCUGUGCUCAUAUGGCCUUUUCUCCCUACCGUUUGUGGUUUCCCUAAUUUCAAUAAAAACCUUC